ACGCUCACUAUCGCGACCCCAGGUCAGGCGGGAUUACCCGCU
rnacentral:rRNA from 1 species